GAUAUGAAUAUGAUGUCAAGUAUCACGAGCGCCAAGUUGUGGUUGGUCUGAAAGUGUGAUGGUGUGGCUCGAAACAAAUUGAGCAGUGUCUGCCAAUAUAUCACAUGCCCUGACAAUUCUGCUCUUCUUCUUGCCUGUCCUAUCUGCCUUGAUUUAUUUCAUCUAAGGCCGCGUUUGAUAGCUAUGAAUAGACUGGAUUAGCAAAGGCAACCUGCAAUACACGGAUGUUUGGUAUCCUGUGGACAUAUCACUCAUGGCCCGGAAAAACCCAAUGGCCCGGCCAUAAGUAUCUGUUCAACGCGGAUUACACAUCUGGCACCCCCCCUCCGAUACGUUUUCCAGCCAUCUCGAUUGAAAUCAAUCUACCGAAUUUGCCCUCUAUUUUUUACGCAACAAGUGAAAAUAGAAAUUUCCCCCCAGAUUUUCGAAGAUCAUCUUUCUGCUGACCCUCGUUUCACCCUCUAACAAAGAACCCUAGUAAUUAAAUCAAUUAAUCCGCUUCAUUCUCAAAUCUCCAUUUCUGACAGUGGCUGCUGUGCUCGAAGAAGACUCAUUUGUUCAACGAAUAUUAAUUUUCCGUGAAACAAAUUUAUCCACCUCAACCCAACAUCAAAAACGAAAAAACGAGAAGGAACGGAGGAGGAUAGAGGAGGCCGUCCGCUGGAGGCGGCGAAGCCAACGGCCUCACUACUGUUGUCCAGUCGAACGGAGAAGAAAGGGAGGCGGCGGCGCAGCGUUGACCUGCUGCUGUCUCCGUCUGUGUGGGAUGAACGAGCGAGGGAGAAAAAGAUAGAGGGAGAUCAGGGGAAAUGAAAGAGAUAGGUUGCUAUCUUUGCCGGGAGGGGGGAUAGGCGACGACGACGUUGUGGUUGGGGAGGGACGCCGGCGCUGGGUAGGCUGGCCAGAUGGGGCUGUCGGGGGAGGAAGGAGGAAUAGGGACGAUGGGUGGAGAGAGAAAAUGGUGAAGGGGUGGUGGG
rnacentral:lncRNA from 1 species